rnacentral:rRNA from 1 species
UACGAAGGGGGCUAGCGUUGCUCGGAAUCACUGGGCGUAAAGCGCACGUAGGCGGAUUGCUAAGUCAGGGGUGAAAUCCUGGAGCUCAACUCCAGAACUGCCUUUGAUACAGCACAUCUUGAGUCCGGAAGAGGUGAGUGGAACUCCUAGUGUAGAGGUGGAAUUCGUAGAUAUUAGGAAGAACACCAGUGGCGAAGGCGGCUCACUGGUCCGGUACUGACGCUGAGGUGCGAAAGCGUGGGGAGCAAACAGG